AAUGGUAGCUUUAAGUCAUUUCAUGCAAGGGAAGUAGGUAGAUACAGAGAAACAGUACUCUCAGGAAAUACAACUAGUUGGGUGGGGGCUGGGGUACAUGAGAAAGUGGGGGGAAAUGAACCCAGAAGAGGAAUUCAGUCCAUAUUAGGAUGAAAAUUGUAUACUAUGCUGAGGAGCCUGUUCUUCACAAUAUGGGCAAAGGAAGCAUUAAAUGAUAUUAAAAAGUUUGACUAAAUUUUUCAGAGUUUAUUAAUAUUUUCACUGAAUUUCCAGAUGUUCUGCUUUCCCAUAUUGGUGUCACUAUAUAUCUUUAUUUUCUCCUUCAUCUCUUAAAAAAAAGAUAUAGUAUUGGCAAAAGAAUACGCAAAUAGAUCAAUGGAACAGAAUAAAGAGCAGAUGGAGACUCACAUACAUAUAGUCACCUAAUCUUUUUCCCAACCCCUUCACAACCAA
rnacentral:lncRNA from 10 species